AAAGAGAGAAAGGAGAGAGCGGCAGCAGCGGUGGCUCUGCCGAGUGUCCUUGGCGAUCUCUGCAACAUCAGCUCCACCAUCACCAGCAGCGGCGGCACUUUUUCCCUGCAGCAAUCUCUCGUCUUUAUGUCUUCGCAUGGAGGAGGGUGGGAGGUGAUGUCAUGGCUUUCAGUCUGCCUAAAAACCGAAGAGCAAGUCAAGUCCCCUCCGUGACAAAUUAAAUACGGAAGCUUUAACAGAGAGGAAGACAGAGGUCACUCCUUUGGCGGCAUCAGCCGGGAUUGUGUCACGUGGCUUCCACUCCAAGCGGUGAGCUGCAUCCUCGAAGCGAAAAAUAAAAUCGCUUCUGUUUGGUACA